GACAGGGGACAGGCAUGGGGGCAGGGGACCAGGAAUAGGGGCUGGGAAUAGGGCAGAGGGGACAGGUAUAUGGGGAUAGGGGAUGGACAUGGGGACAGGCACAGGGAGUAGGGCCUGAGAAUAGGGGAUAGGACAAGGGACAGGUGUUUGUGGGUAGGGGACAGGCACGGGGACAGGGGACAAGGGGCCAGAGAAGGGGGACAGACAUGGGGACGGGGGAUCAAGGGCAGCGAACAGGGCCUGGGAAUAGGAUAUAGGGCUGUAGGGCUCAGGUGACAGUUAUAUAUGGAUGGGGACAGGGAAAGGGGACCUAGAAUAGGAUCUAGGGGCCAGGCACGGGGACAGGGAAUAGGGCCUGGCAUGGGGCCAGGCAGGGGGACAGGGGAUCGAGGACAGGGAAUAGGGCCCAGGAAUAGCUUGGGUCCUGUGCUGGGGCCUAGGGACAGGGAUAUAGGGACAGGACCAAGGACUUGGGGGGAGAAAGUCCCAAAACAGGGGACAGGGCUUAGGAGAUAGGGGGCAGGAGUGGGGAAAAGGGUCUGGGGAUGGGGGAUAAGGCACGGGGACGAGGAAUGGGGCAUGGGGGUGGCCUGUAGGGCCCAGGGCUAUGGGGUACAGCACCUAUAGGGUGGGGAACACGGGGAAAAUUCCUAUUCUAAGCAUGUUCCUUGGGGUUUUAUUGGAUAAAGCCAGCCCUACAGACAGCUCCGUGCUCGCCGUCCCCAUCCCUGAGGGGAUCCUGCCCCAGUUUGCUCCCCCAAACCUACUGGGAGCGCUGGUGACAAACGGGACACGGGGGUGGCCCCGCAAGACGUGGAAAAUAACGCGGGGCCCACGAGGCGACCGUUCCCACCCAGCAACCCGUCCCCAAAGCCCCCGGCGCAGGUUAUCAACGGGAUUAAGGUUAUGAGAGCCUUGUCCUCCAGCUCCCGCUGGGACAUCAAAGCCCGACGCUCUUCCUUUUUGGCACGCAGCGGCGCUGCCUGCGUAAGAGAAGUGUGUGCCACCGGCCCUGCGAGCCUCGGAAACGGGACGAGAGAAAGGAGCGUGGGGAAUUCCCUGCCAGCAUCCUGCCUCGCGAGGAGGAUGAGACGAGAGAAGUUUGCCUGGAAAGGAGCCACGGAUGGCUCGGGUUUUAUCCUCCAUUUAUCCCCAUUCAGGGCUUUUUGGUCACAACACUGCUCUGUGUUACCUUUUCCCCGGGACACCUUGCACCGCAGCCGAGCUUCUUGAAUCCUCCCCAGCUCCUUGGAUCGCAGGAGCAGGCAGGGCCCGUCUUGCUGGCACAGGGCUGAAGGACAUUGCCCCUCGGGGAGCUCUGGAGCUAAGGCAAACCCGGGUUUAAUGGCAGGAAGAGGAGGGGAGGACAAAGGUGGGGGCUGUGAGACAGGUGCCUGGCAAGAGGGGGGCCGCAGCGAGCCACGGGCGGAUGCAAAGGGCAGCGUCUUGGCUCCGGGAGAGCCCGUGACAAAAUUCCUGUUGACUUUGGCAAGGCCAGGAUGUCACAGAGAGGUGACGGAGCUGUCCCGGUGUCAUGGGCAGAGCCAGGAGCAGAUUGCCCUGCCUGGGGUGCCCCUCACACCGCCGGCUAUGGAGAUAUGGAGACUCCUCCCCAUGCAGAUCCCCCCCUUUUUUUUAUUAUUUCAGGCAGGUUGUACCAAACUGGCUCCUCUUACUGAUAUUUGUGCCAAGGGGCACACCAGCACCGGUGCUAACUGUUCGCAUUAAAUAACGAUACGAAUUUUCUGAAGCGUGCAGGAGUUUGUCGUGAGGGCUGGAGCCCGGCUCUGCUCGGGGCUGCACGAGCUGAGAAGAAAAAUCCCACCUGGAGGAAAAUCAGAACACCCUGAGCUGUGCUUCUGGACCCAUCACCGUGUGCCUCUGUUCACCCAUCGGGCUGGAAGGAGCCCAGAGGUCACCUCCUUGCCCCAAGGACCCUGGCAUCACACGAGUGCUGCAAGCACAGCCCACCAGCCCUGCAGUUAUCUGAAGGACGAACAUUUUCCCUCUGGCUCAUUCCCUAAUAAACCUCUCACUCGAGCUGACGUCCCCGGCUCAUUCAGCCAGGAUCUCAGGGGACGUGACCCAUGGCCAGAACCGCUCCUGCCCCCCUUAUUUAUUCAAUGACUCAAAGAAACGCUCCCGAGGCUGUGACAAAGGGGAAGAAAAACAAGGAAAUGCACAUGUGAGGCUGUGCUGCGGGCUGCACGCACCAGGGGUGCAUUUAGGAAGUAGUUAAGGAAGCUCCUUGCUGCGCCUGGGGAUUGGGGUCGGAGCCGGUGCCAGGCCCCGUUUCUGUCUGCCUUCCCCCAGCAGCAGGCAUCCUUUGACCCAUUUUGGGGUCUGCAUUGCUCCUCCAGGCUCUCCUGCUGAUGUUUGUGCCCACGAAGGAAAGGUGCAGCUCAGAUGAACCCCCUGGACCUCCUCGAUGCUGGUGGAGAUGUCCCCAUGUCCGCUUUGUCCCCAGCUGCUUCCCAACUCCCCUCUUGGCACAGCUCCACAUGCAGCCAGUCCUGAAACCAUCCCAGCCAGGCUGAGCACUCCCCAAAGCACCUUUUUUUUAUGAGAAAUCCUCUAAAAGAGCUGAGUUAGGGAGCAGGCUGGCGUGCUGGCAGGUCCCUGGAGGCAGCAGCCCCAGAUGGGGUGCUGGGGACACCCCUCGGGGGCUGCAGUGCCACCUGCGAGGGACAUGGUCGUAGACCUGCUGAUUUGAAGUCACCACUAAAUUUCACCUGCCACAUUAAAUAGCUUGUGUCUCAGCUACCUGACCCUAAUACCACGGUACGAGCUGCGUGUAAAGGACCAAAACUCUCCGUGCGUUUUCACGGGGGCUCCAGAGGUGCUCAGAGGGGCUGCCAUGGGAGGCAGAGCUCCUUGUGUGCCCUUUAGGAACCUUGAGUGCCCUUUAGGAUCCUUGUGUGCCCUUUAGGAUCCUCGUGUGCCCUUUAGGGACUCUUUUCAAGCACCUACAAAGCCUGUUUCCUUGACUCAUUUCUUUUCACUGCUUUUCAUACUGACUCAUUGCUUUGCAUACCGAGGGGAGCUGGCACCCAGGCGUCCGGAUUUAGCAGGACAGAGGAAGAAAAAGGUGGGGUGAGCGCACGUGGCACUGCCUAUUGACAGACCUGCAAGUUGCUGGGAGAUCAGGAUCUGUUUUAGCAGUGGGAAAGGAGAGGCAGAGAGGAAUCGUGCAACAACCCAGGGCCGGGAAGAUGGCACGGACCUGAAGCCAGCAGCUCGGUGUCGUGGUCCUGGCGCGCAGAGGUCUCCACGCCCAACUCUCUGCUCCCUUUCCUCUCUAUCUGACAUGAAUUUCAGGGAACUGUUGACUAGAUACCACUCUCUUUGUGCUUGAUGGAAAGAAAAAAUACGUGAAAAGUGACAGUCGGGAUGGUAAAAAUGGCUUUUCCUUCUGUUUUUCCCCGCUGCUGCCAAAAACCUGCCAGUUCGGAAUGUUUUUCACAGGCUCAUCUCCCUGGAGAAGCGAGCUAUUUCUGAUGGAAGCAGCUGGUUCUUCUAAAAGGUCUUAUUGCAGACACCGGAAUGGAAAAAACAAAUAAAACACCAUCUAUUCCCACCCUUUGGGGUCAGAUCUUGUGUUUUUGCCUCCUGUGACAAGGGGCAGACGAACCUACAAGUCUCUGGACAGGAGCUGCGAGCUGCAGCGGCCAGAGGGGAACUUUUUUUUCAGCAGACAUCGCACAGACCCGCUCCAUUUCCACUGGCACAACUAAAUAUACAGCGGCUGCUGUUCUAGUUAUGUUUAAAUCAAUAAAUAUUCUUUUAGAAUAUCAAA